CCAUCUGGCCGUGAGCCAGACUGACCCAGUGACCUCCAGCUCUGAGUGUGACUUCCUGGCGUGCCCUGCUCUGCUGAGCUGGAGAAGGGCCACCAUCAGUGCUCUCUCGGCACUCCUGAAUUGAACUGAAUCAUAAAGCCAGGAGCAUCUCAGCCUGGGCUGAGUCUGGGCCAUGAAUUACCUGUGGAGCGAAGGCCUGCGUCUUGGGGAGGAGGCUGGGGGCAGCUGGCUGGUGUGGGCCCUAAAUUCUGCAAGGGAAAUGGGUUUGUUUUCUUUAAGCUCAAGAGAAUAAAAGAGUUCUAACCAAGUCCUGCUGGAUUUAAAUAGCAAGAUCUGCCUCGCUGCCCAUUGGCUUUCAAGCUGGGGGCUCUGAUCCCUGUUUGAGGGGUUAAACUCUAACCCCAUUAAGCCAUUUAUGGAAAGCUGACCACCAGGGAGGGAGGCGGCCCCUCUUCCUGCAGCCUCCCUAAACCCCACAGAUUCUGAAAUUGGUUGUCACUCUCAGUCAGAGGAUUCUAAACAAGUAGGCGCUAAUCCCCUCUGUUAAGGAGAUACUUAUUUUGUCUGAAAAACUUCAAAGAGUCCAUGACAGACACUCAAAAUCAAAAUUAGCAUUCCAAUGAGGAUUUAAAAAAUAAUAAUUCUUACAGUUCUGCAGAAGAGAGGAAGAGAGGUGAAGUGACUGGCCCGGAGGCUGGGGGAAGGAGGUGGGGGCGAGCUCCUUUCAUCUGCCCACCCCAGGAGCUCUGGGGAUCUGCCCUGCUGGCUGCGAUGUGGAGCUCCCUCUCCAUAAAGGGGCAAAGGCUGGUCUGUAGCCUGCUCCCCCAGGGUGGGCAGGAAGUGGCCACUGCCCCAAAAGGAUUGUGCAGAUGAGGAAUUCAAGGCUUAGAGAGGGCCGUGGUACCCUGGCCAUCAGUGACUAAGCUGCAGUUGAAACCAGGUCUCUGCACCUGGGGUGGGCCUGCAUGGCAGGAUGGGUUGCCGGUCAGUCUGCCUGAAGGCUGCAGUGGUGUUCUCUACUGGCAGUGCUUGUAGAAGGUGGAGGCACUGGCAUGUAUCCCAGGACAGGUAAGUGGUAGAGUGUGGAGCCAGCUGCCUGACCAACACCUCUGCCAUGUUACAGCAGCAUCAGGGAACUGCAGGAGGGCUGGGCUUCUGACACUUCCCUCCUGAUGAGCUUCCACUCACCCCCAUGCCUGACCUGUCCCUUUGCUGGAUGAUUUCACCCCAGCCCCACCCCACCCC